UUUAGGGUUUAGGAUUUAGGAUUUAUCUAGCAUUUGAUUUAGGAUUUAGGGUUUGUUUAGGAUUUAAGACUUAUCCAAGAUUUGGUUUAGGAUUUAAGGUUUGUCUAGGAUUUGGUUAGGAUUAAGGAUUUAUCUAAGAUUUGAUUUAGGAUUUAGAGUUUGUCUAGGAUUUGAUUUAGAAUUUAAGUUUUUUUUAGGAUUUGAUUCAAA
rnacentral:lncRNA from 1 species